rnacentral:rRNA from 1 species
CCCUUAGAUGUUCUGGGCCGCACGCGCGCUACACUGAUUCAUGCAACAAGUUUUGUCCUUGGCUGAUAGGCCUGGGUAAUCUUUGAACGUGAAUCGUGAUGGGGAUAGAUGAUUGCAAUUAUUCAUCUUCAACGAGGAAUUCCUAGUAAACGCAAGUCAUCAGCUUGCAUUGAUUACGUCCCUGCCCUUUGUACACACCGCCCGUCGCACCUACCGAUUGAAUGGUCCGGUGAAAUCUUCGGAUCUGAGAGAUGUCUGAUUAAUUUCGGACGCCUUUUGGAAAAGUUGCUUAAACCUUACCAUUUAGAGGAAGGUGAAGUCGUAACA